UACGGAGGGAGCUAGCGUUGUUCGGAAUACUGGGCGUAAAGAGCGCGCAGGCGGUCGAUCAAGUCGAGUGUGAAAGCCCCCGGCUCAACUGGGGAGGGUCAUUCGAUACUUAUCGACUCGAAGGCAGGAGAGGGUAGUGGAAUUCCCGGUGUAGUGGUGAAAUGCGUAGAUAUCGGGAGGAACACCAGUGGCGAAGGCGACUACCUGGCCUGUUCUUGACGCUGAGGCGCGAAAGCUAGGGAGCAAACGGG
rnacentral:rRNA from 1 species